rnacentral:lncRNA from 1 species
AGGCACUAGGCUGUAUGUAUAGAGGUGAAAAAUAUAGAAUUUAGAACGGUUGGGAAAGCAAUGAUGGAAAUAUGUGAGUUUAGAAUCAAAAUUUUCUGUUUUAAGAAGAGGAAUGAUGCAGGAUGUGUAUGGCGUCAUGAAUAAAUCUUAUGAAAGAUCGAUGUGGCUGGCAGCCCCCAUUAUGACCACAAUCCCACCUCUUUGUGCUGCACGCGCAUCACCAAACUCAAACACUAUCUCUCUCAAAGCCCACACCACACACUCUCUCUUUCUUCUGCACGCAAUCUUCUUGCUGCUUAGCCCCAAUAGACCUACUCGCUCUCUCUCUCUCUCUCUCUCUCUCUCUCUCUCUCUCCCCUCAACACAUCUCCAUCCACAAAAAUGGUCAACCA